rnacentral:rRNA from 1 species
ACGGAGGGUGCGAGCGUUGUCCGGAAUCACUGGGCUUAAAGCGCGUGUAGGCGGGUCGUUGAGUGUCCGAGUGAAAUCCCACGGCUCAACCGUGGAACUGCCGGGCAUACUGGCGAUCUUGAGGCAUUCAGGGGCGAGCGGAACAAAUGGUGGAGCGGUGAAAUGCGUAGAUAUCAUUUGGAACGCCAAUGGUGAAAACAGCUCGCUGGGAAUGAUCUGACGCUGAGACGCGAAAGCCAGGGGAGCGAACGGGA